CCUGGCUCAGGACGAACGCUGGCGGCGCGCCUAACACAUGCAAGUCGAACGGAGUUGUGUUGAAAGCUUGCUGGAUAUACAACUUAGUGGCGGACGGGUGAGUAACACGUGAGUAACCUGCCUUUCAGAGUGGAAUAACGUUUGGAAACGAACGCUAAUACCGCAUAACAUGAGAGAACGGCAUCGUUCUUUCAUCAAAGAUUUAUCGCUGAGAGAUGGGCUCGCGGCCGAUUAGGUAGUUGGUGAGAUAACAGCCCACCAAGCCGACGAUCGGUAGCCGGACUGAGAGGUUGAACGGCCACAUUGGGACUGAGACACGGCCCAGACUCCUACGGGAGGCAGCAGUGGGGGAUAUUGCACAAUGGAGGAAACUCUGAUGCAGCGACGCCGCGUGAGGGAAGACGGUCUUCGGAUUGUAAACCUCUGUCUUUAGGGACGAAAAAAUGACGGUACCUAAGGAGGAAGCCACGGCUAACUACGUGCCAGCAGCCGCGGUAAUACGUAGGUGGCAAGCGUUGUCCGGAAUUACUGGGUGUAAAGGGAGCGUAGGCGGGGAGACAAGUUGAAUGUUUAAACUAUCGGCUCAACUGAUAGUCGCGUUCAAAACUAUCACUCUUGAGUGCAGUAGAGGUAGGCGGAAUUCCUAGUGUAGCGGUGAAAUGCGUAGAUAUUAGGAGGAACACCAGUGGCGAAGGCGGCCUACUGGGCUGUAACUGACGCUGAGGCUCGAAAGCGUGGGUAGCAAACAGGAUUAGAUACCCUGGUAGUCCACGCCGUAAACGAUGAUUACUAGGUGUGGGGGGACUGACCCCUUCCGUGCCGGAGUUAACACAAUAAGUAAUCCACCUGGGGAGUACGACCGCAAGGUUGAAACUCAAAGGAAUUGACGGGGGCCCGCACAAGCAGUGGAGUAUGUGGUUUAAUUCGAAGCAACGCGAAGAACCUUACCAGGUCUUGACAUCGAGUGACGAACUUAGAGAUAAGUUUUUCCUUCGGGACACGAAGACAGGUGGUGCAUGGUUGUCGUCAGCUCGUGUCGUGAGAUGUUGGGUUAAGUCCCGCAACGAGCGCAACCCUUAUCAUUAGUUGCUACGCAAGAGCACUCUAAUGAGACUGCCGUUGAUAAAACGGAGGAAGGUGGGGAUGACGUCAAAUCAUCAUGCCCCUUAUGACCUGGGCUACACACGUACUACAAUGGUGUUAAACAGAGGGAAGCAACACAGCGAUGUGAAGCAGAACCCGAAAAAUCAUCUCAGUUCAGAUUGCAGGCUGCAACUCGCCUGCAUGAAGUCGGAAUUGCUAGUAAUCGCGGAUCAGCAUGCCGCGGUGAAUACGUUCCCGGGCCUUGCACACACCGCC
rnacentral:rRNA from 1 species